rnacentral:rRNA from 1 species
UACGAGGGGGGCAAGCGUUGUUCGGAAUUAUUGGGCGUAGAGGGCGCGUAGGCGGUUUGACAAGUCUGAUGUGAAAUCUAUGGGCUCAACCCAUAGCCUGCAUUAGAAACUGUCGGGCUUGAGUAUGGGAGAGGUGAGUGGAAUUUCCGGUGUAGCGGUGAAAUGCGUAGAUAUCGGAAGGAACACCUGUGGCGAAAGCGGCUCACUGGACCAUAACUGACGCUGAGGCGCGAAAGCUAGGGGAGCAAACAGG